UCGUUAGAGACUUCAAAAACUAAUUAAUUAGGCUUUUCGUAGAGACAAUUCAUAAGAAAAAAAUCGUAGUCUUUUAGGUUUGCUUUUAAAAUAAAUGAGGUACGCCAAGCCCAAACAAAACCAUAUAUUGUGUGGCCCUCUUAAUCAUAUUUAAAAUAUUUUAGACCUUGUGGCGAGCCAUUUAGCCAAUUUCACGGCCUUCCGCAAAGUUAAUGAUAUGCUAGUUGCUUUAGUCCUGGCAUUUAAUAAUAUUACUUUCUUAAACUUGGGUGCACAUUUAUGUCACCCAAAUCUAAAUCUCAACAAAGUUGAAAUGUGUCAGAAACCAUGGGUGCAUUUAUGUGAGGUGAUUCGAGACAUGUUUUCAUGAUGUUGCAAUUCUCUUUAAAAAUAAUACUAAAAGCGGUUUAAAAGUUAAAAAACACAUAAGUCAAAACAUGUUUUAAAAUUAGAUAUUUAGCCAAGUAUGAUAAUUGAGCGACCGUGCCAGAACUAGGGAACCCGGGAAUGCCAAACACUUUUUCCUUGGUUAAUAGAAUUCCUUACUCGGACUUCUUAUUCGUGGACUGUUUAACAGAGUCAAUAAUUUCCUUGAUUCGGGAUUCAACCAGUUACUUGGGACAUCAAUAUUCUCCGAAGUAUUGACUCUAAAUUAUUAAUAAAUAAAUCCCGUUUUGAUUGUCCUUUAAUUGAAAAACUCUUUUACGCCCUUGCGGGUAUAGGUAAAAAGGAGGUCUG
rnacentral:lncRNA from 1 species